UAGGGAAUCUUCCACAAUGGACGCAAGUCUGAUGGAGCAACGCCGCGUGAGUGAAGAAGGCUUUCGGGUCGUAAAACUCUGUUAUUGAAGAAGAACGUGUGUGACAGUAACUGGUCAUGCAGUGACGGUAUUCAAUCAGAAAGUCACGGCUAACUACGUGCCAGCAGCCGCGGUAAUACGUAGGUGGCAAGCGUUGUCCGGAUUUAUUGGGCGUAAAGCGAGUGCAGGCGGUCUUUUAAGUCUGAUGUGAAAGCCUUCGGCUUAACCGAAGAAGGGCAUCGGAAACUGGGAGACUUGAGUGCAGAAGGAGGAGAGUGGAACUCCAUGUGUAGCGGUGAAAUGCGUAGAUAUAUGGAAGAACACCAGUGGCGAAGGCGGCUCUCUGGUCUGUAACUGACGCUGAGGCUCGAAAGCGUGGGUAGCAAACAGGAUUAGA
rnacentral:rRNA from 1 species